UACGGAGGGUGCGAGCGUUGUCCGGAAUCAUUGGGCGUAAAGGGCGCGUAGGCGGUCUGUUAAGUGUGAAGUGAAAUCUCCAGGGCUCAACCCGGAAACCGCUUCGCAUACUGGCAGACUGGAGGGAUGCAGAGGUGAGUGGAAUUCCUGGUGUACCGGUGAAAUGGGUAGAUAUCAGGAGGAACACCCAUGGCGAAGGCAGCUCACUGGGCAUCUCCUGACGCUGAGGCGCGAAAGCAUGGGGAGCGAACAGG
rnacentral:rRNA from 1 species